CCCUUGGAUGCCCUGGGCCGCACGCGCGUUACACUGAUGCAUUCAACGAGCUUAUAACCUUGGCCGAGAGGCCUGGGCAAUCUUGUUAACGUGCAUCGUGAUAGGGAUAGAUUAUUGAAAUUAUUAAUCUUGAACGAGGAAUUCCUAGUAAACGCAGAUCAUCAAUCUGCAUUGAUUACGUCCCUGCCCUUUGUACACACCGCCCGUCGCACCUACCGAUUGGAUGGUCCGGUGAAGCCUCGGGAUUGUGGUUCUUGCCGCUUUAUUGUGGCGUGACCGCGAGAACUUGUCUAAACCUUAUCAUCUAGAGGAAGGUGAAGUCGUAACA
rnacentral:rRNA from 1 species